rnacentral:rRNA from 1 species
UGCGUAGGUGGCAGGGUAAGUCGGAUGUGAAAUCUCCGAGCUCAACUCGGAAAUGGCAUUGGAAACUACCCAGCUCGAGGGUUGGAGGGGGGACUGGAAUGCUUGGUGUAGCAGUGAAAUGCGUAGAUAUCAAGCGGAACACCAGUGGCGAAGGCGAGUCCCUGGACAACUCCUGACACUGAGGCACAAAGCUGGGAGCAAACA